GAUGAACGCUGGCGGCGUGCCUAAUACAUGCAAGUCGAGCGAACAGACGAGGAGCUUGCUCCUCUGACGUUAGCGGCGGACGGGUGAGUAACACGUGGAUAACCUACCUAUAAGACUGGGAUAACUUCGGGAAACCGGAGCUAAUACCGGAUAAUAUAUUGAACCGCAUGGUUCUAUAGUUAAAGACGGUUUUGCUGUCACUUAUAGAUGGAUCCGCGCCGCAUUAGCUAGUUGGUAAGGUAACGGCUUACCAAGGCAACGAUGCGUAGCCGACCUGAGAGGGUGAACGGCCAAACUGGAACUGAGACACGGUACAGACUCCUACGGGAGGCAGCAGUAGGGAAUAUUCCGCAAUGGGCGAAAGCCUGACGGAGCAACGCCGCGUGAGUGAUGAAGGUCUUCGGAUCGUAAAACUCUGUUAUUAGGGAAGAAAAAAUGUGUAAGUAACUAUGCACGUAUUGACGGUACCUAAUCAGAAAGCCACGGCUAACUACGUG
rnacentral:rRNA from 1 species